UACGAAGGGUGCUAGCGUUGUUCGGAUUUACUGGGCGUAAAGCGCACGUAGGCGGAUCGAUCAGUCAGGGGUGAAAUCCCAGGGCUCAACCCUGGAACUGCCUUUGAUACUGUCGAUCUGGAGUAUGGAAGAGGUGAGUGGAAUUCCGAGUGUAGAGGUGAAGUUCGUAGAUAUUCGGAGGAACACCAGUGGCGAAGGCGGCUCACUGGUCCAUUACUGACGCUGAGGUGCGAAAGCGUGGGGAGCAAACAGG
rnacentral:rRNA from 1 species